CAGUCGCCGCGGGAAUACGGAGGGAGCUAGCGUUGUUCGGAAUCACUGGGCGUAAAGCGCACGUAGGCGGCUAUUCAAGUCAGGGGUGAAAGCCCGGGGCUCAACCCCGGAACUGCCUUUGAAACUAGAUAGCUUGAAUCUUGGAGAGGCGAGUGGAAUUCCGAGUGUAGAGGUGAAAUUCGUAGAUAUUCGGAAGAACACCAGUGGCGAAGGCGACUCGCUGGACAAGUAUUGACGCUGAGGUGCGAAAGCGUGGGGAGCAAACAGGAUUAGAUACCCCAGUAGUCCCUGUCUCUUAUAC
rnacentral:rRNA from 1 species